AGAGAGAGACAUGCGCGCAUAUCAAUAAGCGGAGGAAAAGAAACUAACAAGGAUUCCCUUAGUAACGGCGAGUGAAGCGGGAAGAGCUCAAAUUUGAAAUCUUCAAGGUUUUACCUUGACGAAUUGUAGUUUAAAGAAGUGUUUUCUGCUGAAGUUUUGGUAAAAGUUCUUUGGAAUAGGACAUCAUAGAGGGUGAGGAAUCCCGUAUUUGACCAUUAUUUUCAGCUUUGUGAUACACUUUCAAAGAGUCGGAUUGUUUGGGAAUGCAGUCCAAAAUGGGUGGUAAAUUUCAUCUAAAGCUAAAUAUUGGCGAGAGACCGAUAGCGAACAAGUACCGUGAGGGAAAGAUGAAAAGAACUUUGAAAAGAGAGUUAAACAGUACGUGAAAUUGUCAAAAGGGAAGCGUUUGACACCAGUGUUGUUUUCCUCGAAAAUCAAUUAAAAAUGGCUCGAUUUUGUAUUGCUGAGACCUUAAAAGCUCACUGUACAUUUUUCGUGUCUUUUUUAAUGCACUUUUCGUUUAACAAGUCAACAUCAGUUUCUUUUGUUGUAAAAGGGUCAUUGGAAGGUGGCUUUCUUUUCGGAGAAAGUGUUUAUAGCCUUUGGCCUCUGCAAUCGAAGAGACUGAGGUCUGCAGCGUAGACUCUUCGGGGUUAGAUACAUUUGUGCUAAGUUAUAGCUUUUUAUAGACAACUUGUUGACUAUAAUUAGUCUUGUAGCUUACUCGCUUAUGCUAUUUUACCUACGCUUAGGAUGUUGAAGUCAUCGUAUCGCG
rnacentral:rRNA from 1 species